rnacentral:rRNA from 1 species
AUGACCGAGACGACUCUCCGGUCAAUAACCAACAGCGGGAUCUGGAUACCCAUGUUGGCUCCCACAUGUUCCACGAUGAUCUCAUCGGAUGAACCACAAUGUCGAGGAUUCAAUCAAUCCCGUAUUCAAUUCCCUUUGUCAAUCGGUACGUUACUUGCCCGAGAUUCGAUCGUCGGGCAUAUUUCCAACAAUGUCAUGGAACACUUCUACGACAGCACGGUGAGCCGCAGUGCAGGAAUUUUUUGUUACUGGCAUCAGCCAGAUGGUGUUAAUGACACGAUGAUUGUGUUAAUCCCAAAAGUACCCCACCCUAAGGAACUGAAAGAUUUCCGCCCCAUAAGUCUGUGUAAUGUGGUGUACAAGAUCGUGUCUAAAUGCAUGGUGAACAGGCUACGGUCGCUCCUAUCUGAGCUUAUCUCUGAAAAUCAGAGUGCAUUCAUUCCAGGGAGGUUGAUCUUAGACAACUCCAUUAUUGCCUUCGAGUGCAUUCAUCAUAUCCAGUCAGUAAAGGAGAAUUCACAAGCCUUGUGUGCAUACAAACUUGAUCUGUCGAAGGCCUAUGACCGCGUUGAUUGGUUCUUCUUGGAAAGGGCGCUCUCUAAAUGGGGCUUCUCUGAUCAGUGGAUCUCUCGCGUUAUGGCAUGUGUCUCGUCAGUGAAGUAUUUUGUUAAAUUUAAUGGCAAACUAUUGGAGUCCUUCUCUCCCUCGAGAGGUCUACGCCAAGGUGAUCCUUUAUCCCCCCCUUUCUUUUCCUCUUUGUGGCUGACGCUCUAUCUAUCCUUCUGA